GCCUUCGUAGCGCAAUAUGAUGGGGGGAUAGCGCAUCGGACUUCUAAUCCGACGGUUGUGAGCUCUGGUCUCUCCAAGGGCG
rnacentral:tRNA from 1 species